rnacentral:rRNA from 1 species
GAAAGGUGGCCUUCCGCGGCGUCCGCGGUGUAAUCUCGAGACGUGUUUUCCGUGCGGCUCUGUGGACAACUCCCGUGGAACAGGGCAUCGUAGAGGGUGAAAAUCCCGUACUUGCCAUGGAAGUACCGUGCUUUGUGAUCCACCUUCCAAGAGUCGAGUAGUUUGGGAUUGCUGCUCAAAGUGGGUGGUAUACUCCUUCUGAAACUUAAUAUCGGGGAGAGACCGAUAGCGAACAAUUACCGGGAGGGAAAGAUGAAAAGCUCUUUGGAAAGAGAGUUAAAAGUACGUGAAAUUGUCGGAAGGGAAGCGCUUGAAGUCAGCCUUGCUGCUAGACACUCAGCCUGUUUUUUGCUUGGUGUAUUUCUCGGAGCAAGCCAGCAUUGGUUUGUGUCGUCGGAGAAGCGUAUGGGGAAUGUGGCAUCCUCGGAUGUGUUAUAGCCCUGUGCUGGAUACGACAACUUAAACCAAGGAACGCAGUGUGCCCUCU